rnacentral:rRNA from 1 species
AGCAGCCGCGGUAAUUCCAGCUCCAAUAGCGUAUAUUAAAGUUGUUGCAGUUAAAAAGCUCGUAGUUGAAUUUCGAGAUCAAAUUGUUGGUCGUGCCUCGGUACGUACUGGCAUUAUUGAUUUCUCCCUUCUGAAGAACCACGAUGUCAUUAAUUUGGUGUCGUGGGGAAUCAGGACUGUUACUUUGAAAAAAUUGAGUGUUUAAAGCAGGCUCACGCUUGAAUACAUUAGCAUGGAAUAAUGAAAUAGGACGUUUGAUUCUAUUUUGUUGGUUUCUAGGAUUGACGUAAUGAUUAAUAGGGAUAGUUGGGGGCAUUAGUAUUCAAUUGUCAGAGGUGAAAUUCUUGGAUUUAUUGAAGACUAACUACUGCGAAAGCAUUUGCCAAGGAUGUUUUCAUUAAUCAAGAACGAAAGUUAGGGGAUCGAAGACGAUCAGAUACCGUCGUAGUCUUAACCAUAAACUAUGCCGACUAGGGAUCGGAUGAUGUUAAUUUUAAUGUACUCAUU